rnacentral:rRNA from 1 species
GACGAACGCUGGCGGCGUGCUUAACACAUGCAAGUCGAACGGAAAGGCCCUGCUUUUGUUGGGUGCUCGAGUGGCGAACGGGUGAGUAACACGUGAGUAACCUGUCCUUGACUUUGGGAUAACUUCUGGAAACUGGGGCUAAUACCGGAUAGGAGCUCCUGCUGCAUGGUGGGGGUUGGAAAGUUUCGGCGGUUGGGGAUUGACUCGCGGCUUAUCAGCUUGUUGGUGGGGUAGUGGCUUACCAAGGCUUUGACGGGUAGCCGGCCUGAGAGGGUGACCGGCCACAUUGGGACUGAGAUACGGCCCAGACUCCUACGGGAGGCAGCAGUGGGGAAUAUUGCACAAUGGGCGGAAGCCUGAUGCAGCAACGCCGCGUGCGGGAUGACGGCCUUCGGGUUGUAAACCGCUUUCGCCUGUGACGAAGCGUGAGUGACGGUAAUGGGUAAAGAAGCACCGGCUAACUACGUG